ACCCACGUGGAUUAUGAUUUUAUGAAUUACUGCAUGGAAGUACAGUGAUUAGCUUCCUCCAUUUAGACUAAUGAACAUCACAGAGAUACUUUUGUAAUCCGUUCAAGCUUUUUGCAAAUGAACAAUACUGAUAUUCUCUUUUGUUUGAGGAAUGGUUCAUAUCCAGCAAUGCUUCUUGUGAAUGGUAAACUCAAAAUUUGUGUUUUUCAUAUAGAGCGGAGUGACUCUAACCUACACUUGCAAUCUCGUCUCAUUGUUUGGACUCCAGAACUUAUCAACAAGGCUACUUUACACAAAUGUGAGUGCAUUAGCAGGUAGCUGAUGAAUCGCAGGUGUUUCAUAUAUGAGAUGAGGACAUGGCUGCAGUCGAGGACGAACCAGCACAUCCAUUGCAAGUAGGCUUUGACAAUUUAAUUUUACUUAUUAUUAUUGAGAUUUGGAUGUAUUCCUUCCGACUCUGAUGAACCCAAGGUGCUACAAGUAAUUUGUCACUGCUAUGCUGCAAUAAACUUCUUCAUCGAGAUCUUCAACGUCCUCAUCAUUUUUUUUCUUACAUUGGUGAGCCACCCAGCGAGGGAUUUCCGAAAAAAGUGGGGAAAGAUAUAAGCAUUGAGAUGUUUGUCUGGAAUGGGUAACCUCCUAGAGAAAGAUGAUCUGGCCGUUUGAGGAACGAGAAGGUCAGUUGAACCAGUGGAGCCAUGGGACAUUCUCAAGAAAAAGAACAGUGAUCCUUGAUCUAGAAACCCAGAGAUUUCCAGACCUGGAAGAUCCAGAACCCCAGGCCUAAAAGAUCUAGAAACCCUGAGACCCACCAUGGGAUGGAUGAAACUGAUGGAGUGACACAGACUCAAACAACAACAGUGACUGCUUCUUCUAGAAGGACUUAGGGUCCAGGUGGAAAAGAAUGGACAAUAAGAAGAGAAACAAGAGGAGAUCAAACCAUUUCAGAGACUACGGACAGACGUCUUUCCACCUAGAUGGAAAACAAGUGGGGAAAAAGGACAUACCUUCACUAAGAAAUGCACAAAUACACAGACUCACUGCACAUUAAGAGAUAAAUAUAUGCAUACUAAUUC